CAGACGAGGAGCUUGCUCCUCUGACGUUAGCGGCGGACGGGUGAGUAACACGUGGAUAACCUACCUAUAAGACUGGGAUAACUUCGGGAAACCGGAGCUAAUACCGGAUAAUAUAUUGAACCGCAUGGUUCAAUAGUGAAAGACGGUUUUGCUGUCACUUAUAGAUGGAUCCGCGCCGCAUUAGCUAGUUGGUAAGGUAACGGCUUACCAAGGCAACGAUGCGUAGCCGACCUGAGAGGGUGAUCGGCCACACUGGAACUGAGACACGGUCCAGACUCCUACGGGAGGCAGCAGUAGGGAAUCUUCCGCAAUGGGCGAAAGCCUGACGGAGCAACGCCGCGUGAGUGAUGAAGGUCUUCGGAUCGUAAAACUCUGUUAUUAGGGAAGAACAAAUGUGUAAGUAACUAUGCACGUCUUGACGGUACCUAAUCAGAAAGCCACGGCUAACUACGUGCCAGCAGCCGCGGUAAUACGUAGGUGGCAAGCGUUAUCCGGAAUUAUUGGGCGUAAAGCGCGCGUAGGCGGUUUUUUAAGUCUGAUGUGAAAGCCCACGGCUCAACCGUGGAGGGUCAUUGGAAACUGGAAAACUUGAGUGCAGAAGAGGAAAGUGGAAUUCCAUGUGUAGCGGUGAAAUGCGCAGAGAUAUGGAGGAACACCAGUGGCGAAGGCGACUUUCUGGUCUGUAACUGACGCUGAUGUGCGAAAGCGUGGGGAUCAAACAGGAUUAGAUACCCUGGUAGUCCACGCCGUAAACGAUGAGUGCUAAGUGUUAGGGGGUUUCCGCCCCUUAGUGCUGCAGCUAACGCAUUAAGCACUCCGCCUGGGG
rnacentral:rRNA from 1 species